GGAAAAACUAGAGGAGAAGGAAAUGAAAACACACCUGGCCUUAGGUUAAUCAGUGAUUCACUAACCUCCUUCAUGCUAUGUGCUCAAAUAUCUUGAAUGAAUAAAGGAAUGGAUGAUGGCAACUCUACCCCUCCAGUUCUUGAAAAGCUUGAAGAUUCUUAAUUUUCUUUUCUUUAUACCAAGUGCCCUGUUGGCUGCUCCUAGAAAAUAUACCCAGAAUCCAACCACCUUACUGCUACCCUAAUGGCACCAUGCCACCAUCGUUUCUACCCAGACUCCCACAACACCUGCUUCCUGGUCUCCCUGCUUGCACCCUGGUCCCACCACAAUCUAAGCUCAUUUCAGUGAUGUCAGAUCACGUCACUCCUCUGUACAACUCUCCAGUGCUCCCCUCACAGACUAAAUGCCAAAGGCCAUAUGAUCUAGCCCCCAUUACUGCUCUGCCUCCCCCUUCUCCUGCUUCCCCGCUGCUGCUCCUCCAGUAUGCCAGGUGUGCUCCCACCCCAGGAUCGGGCUGUUGCUGGUCCCAGGGAUCUGUAAGGCUCAUUCCCUUGCCUCUUUCAAUUCUUUACUCAAACGCCAACUUCUCAAUGACGCUACCUCUAACCACCCUAUUGAAUACUACAACCCUUUCCCCCUUCCCACACUCACUAACUUCUUUCACUGCUUCAUUUUUCUCCAUUGCACUCAUCACAUUCUAAUACCAGGUAACAUAUAAUUCGUUGUCUAUGUCUCCCUAGAACAGGGGUGGGGAACCUUUUUACUGCCAAGAGCCACUUGGAUAUUCAUAACAUCAUUCUCGGGCCACACAAAAUUAUUAACUUAAAAAUUAGCCUGCUAUAUUUGGUCAAACAUUCACUUGACUCACCCUAUUGCCUUGGCAGGGCCAGACCAAAUGAUUUUGUGGACAUUACACGGCCUGUGGACCAGACGUUUUCCACCCCUGCCCUAGCAUAUCAUCUUACAGGAAACAAUAAUCUAAACUGAUUAUGCUGAGCCUUACAUCUACAUGGGAUUUAGCAGGAGGCAUCAGAAGAGUGGGCGCCAAGGAAAGCCAGAGCGCUGCCUCACAGCCAGAAUUCAAACCUCCGAUAACGACCAAAUGUGACGUGGAUGUUUACAUACUCAGCCUGGGGCACAGCAGGGCCUCAGACACAUGGCAAACUGUUCUGUCUCUGGUCCCGACAGCUCACAAGAACCAGCACCCACAGGCUGGGUCUGAGUGAGCAGGAGUCACGCCGGAGAGACUUGGGCCACACGGUAUCUGCUAGGUCAGUUUCCCCGCCGACAGAAAAAGAAAAGUAAUUCUUGACUUGUCUAUCUAAAAGGAUUCCUUGAAGCACUGAAUGGGUACGAUGACCGUAAAAGUGCUUUGCAAACCAUUACACACUGCGAAGAUAUAUAAGGAACCCGACGGUUCUCAGUGACUUGCGUUCUGAGACACAACUUGAGGGGCGAAAGCAUCGGGCCAAACAGUCCAACAGUGCUCCCCACCCCCGGUCCCACAGGCGGCCGGGCAGGCUCUAUCACCUUGGGCAGAAACACAGUUUCUCAGUUUCAUUUGUUAGGAGAAUUUCUCCUCUGUCUUCUUGACCAAAAAAAAAGAGCAGAAAGCA